UUAAUCUGGUAGAUGCAACAGGAUUGUUUUACAUUCCGUUUGCAAACAUGUUUUAAUUUAGUAGAUUUGAAGAGUUAAUUUUGAAUGUUGGAUGUAUUCAUUUUUCUCACGUUAAUUGGAAGUGAAAAUUUCACGUUCAGAUAUACUCCAGAGCAGCAGGUGGCUGUAAUGCCUAGUUAAAACAACCAGCGGUAGAAGAAGAAGCGUUUGAAUCGUGGUCACACUGGAUAUCGUUGGCCAAAAACUAAUCGCUGCUGGUGACUGUAUGUCAUGAAAACUGAGGCUCGAGUUAAUCUACUGAAAGGUCCAUGUUAUUGCACGCACUUCCAAUUGGUUAGGUGGUGGAAAUCUGGAGCUGUAAGGGAUGCAAAGAAACAGUAUCAAAUCAACGCAGAAUUCAAAAGAAUUACGACGGUCCCACUUCAAUCCAAGUUCCUGUCUCAGAUAGACCUUCACUCUGACAACCUGACAAAGCUGUUCCAAAAGAGAGGGGGACAAAUAGGGAAAGGUCUCCAGUCAUGUUCUCAAUGAUUGCUUGAUUGUGAUAUAGAUGCUGGCCGGGAGUGUCUCCUGAAGGGACUUUGUAUGUACAUGGGGGAAGAUCCUGAAAACCUUGUGCAGGAAUAUGUGGGCAUGGAUGAAGUUGAUGUCAGUGAAUCCAUUGAAGACGCUACUGUCGGGAUUUACGUUCGGAGAGAACAUGAAUCAAGUGAACCGGAGGACAUUUGUUUCUUUUUUUGAUGCGCAAAGGACUUCAACACAUCUCACUUUUUGGUCUCUUGUUCAUCUCUCACUCUCUCUUUUUGUCUGUCACACCAACACACACAUACUAACAAACACACGCACCUCACACCCAUCCACAUAACUCCAGUGACAAACUCCAGUGUAAUUUUUGCCACCAUGUUUGGCUCGCAGCAUAGACCACCAUUGUCUUCCUCUCUCUAUCCCCUUCUCUUCCUCUCUUUCUCUUCCCUUCUCACUCUCCCUCCCUCCCUCUCUCACUCCUCUCUCUUUCUGUGUAGGAUGUCUACUGUACUGUAAAGUGUUGGAUGAAAGCAUUGUGUACUCAUGUAGCGUUCAAUAAAAAAAUGAAAAGACUGAAA